rnacentral:rRNA from 1 species
CACGAAUGGCGUAAUGAUGGCCAGGCUGUCUCCACCCGAGACUCAGUGAAAUUGAACUCGCUGUGAAGAUGCAGUGUACCCGCGGCAAGACGGAAAGACCCCGUGAACCUUUACUAUAGCUUGACACUGAACAUUGAGCCUUGAUGUGUAGGAUAGGUGGGAGGCUUUGAAGUGUGGACGCCAGUCUGCAUGGAGCCGACCUUGAAAUACCACCCUUUAAUGUUUGAUGUUCUAACGUUGACCCGUAAUCCGGGUUGCGGACAGUGUCUGGUGGGUAGUUUGACUGGGGCGGUCUCCUCCUAAAGAGUAACGGAGGAGCACGAAGGUUGGCUAAUCCUGGUCGGACAUCAGGAGGUUAGUGCAAUGGCAUAAGCCAGCUUGACUGCGAGCGUGACGGCGCGAGCAGGUGCGAAAGCAGGUCAUAGUGAUCCGGUGGUUCUGAAUGGAAGGGCCAUCGCUCAACGGAUAAAAGGUACUCCGGGGAUAACAGGCUGAUACCGCCCAAGAGUUCAUAUCGACGGCGGUGUUUGGCACCUCGAUGUCGGCUCAUCACAUCCUGGGGCUGAAGUAGGUCCCAAGGGUAUGGCUGUUCGCCAUUUAAAGUGGUACGCGAGCUGGGUUUAGAACGUCGUGAGACAGUUCGGUCCCUAUCUGCCGUGGGCGCUGGAGAACUGAGGGGGGCUGCUCCUAGUACGAGAGGACCGGAGUGGACGCAUCACUGGUGUUCGGGUUGUCAUGCCAAUGGCACUGCCCGGUAGCUAAAUGCGGAAGAGAUAAGUGCUGAAAGCAUCUAAGCACGAAACUUGCCCCGAGAUGAGUUCUCCCUGACUCCUUGAGAGUCCUGAAGGAACGUUGAAGACGACGACGUUGAUAGGCCGGGUGUGUAAGCGCAGCGAUGCGUUGAGCUAACCGGUACUAAUGAACCGUGAGG